AGCUUUACCUUGGUAUUCCUCACCUUCCCCACCCCAUCCUACACAACCAAACAUUAUGCCAAUACUCUUUCCAGGUUACCUGUCCUUAUUCCUACUCCCUGUGCAUUUGCUUUUUUCCUUUUAGUUUGACCAGCAGCUCCUGACUCAGCCGUGCCGGUCUCUUGCCUUCCUUGCCCAGUUUCUUACUUGGAAUCAUCAAGUCAGGGCUCAGUGAUACCUGUAACAUCACUCAAAGGCCUGAGGUUAGAAGCAGAAGCAGCACCCUGGCAAAGGCAGGAAGGGAGGGCCUUGAAAGGCAGCUUGCCUCUCUUCCCCUGCAGUUGGGUGCCAGACCCCCAUGGAAGCAGCUUGAAGAGCCUGUUGGUGCACACAGAGUUUUGACAGGAGAAGAAAGAAGAGGUCCAGAGUACAGCUAGUUAUUUUUAGCUAGCUUCUACUGUCAGAAUCUUGAAGACAUCAGAAUGAAUAGCCUUAUCAUCUCUCCAGGAGGUUGGCACUGCAGCUCUCCAUCCACACCCCAGCCACCCCUCAUCCACUUCUUUAUCCCUACUGCAUGAAAUUAAAUUUCCCAGGUAACUACUGGAGCAUAAUUUUGCAGCAACACUAAAGCCCUCAGACCUCAGCCAUCCAGAUAUUGAUCUGGGUGUGAGGGUAGGAA